CCUACGGGUGGCUGCAGUCGAGAAUCAUUCACAAUGGGGGAAACCCUGAUGGUGCGACGCCGCGUGGGGGAAUGAAGGUCUUCGGAUUGUAAACCCCUGUCAUGUGGGAGCAAAUUAAAAAGAUAGUACCACAAGAGGAAGAGACGGCUAACUCUGUGCCAGCAGCCGCGGUAAUACCGAGGUCUCAAGCGUUGGUCGGAAUCACUGGGCGUAAGGCGUGCGUAGGCGGUUUCGUAAGUCGUGUGUGAAAGGCGCGGGCUCAACCCGCGGACGGCACAUGAUACUGCGAGACUAGAGUAAUGGAGGGGGAACCGGAAUUCUCGGUGUAGCAGUGAAAUGCGUAGAUAUCGAGAGGAACACUCGUGGCGAAGGCGGGUUCCUGGACAUUAACUGACGCUGAGGCACGAAGGCCAGGGGAGCGAAAGGGAUUAGAUACCCCAGUAGUC
rnacentral:rRNA from 1 species